CAAGGAAUUUUCCCCAAUGGGCGCAAGCCUGAGGGAGCAACGCCGCGUGGGGGAGGAAGCGUUUCGGCGUGUAAACCCCUUUUCCGAGGGACGAAGUCCAUGACGGUACCUCGGGAAUAAGGCCCGGCUAACUACGUGCCAGCAGCCGCGGUAAUACGUAGGGGCCAAGCGUUGUCCGGAGUUACUGGGCGUAAAGGGCGCGCAGGCGGUUGGUUACGUCGUGUGUGAAAGCCCCCGGCUCAACCGGGGAGGGUCGCGCGAAACGGGCCAACUGGAGGCAAGGCGAGGUCGGUGGAAUUCCCGGUGUAGUGGUGAAAUGCGUAGAGAUCGGGAGGAACACCAGAGGCGAAGGCGGCCGACUGGACUUGACCUGACGCUGAGGCGCGAAGGCGUGGGGAGCGAACGGG
rnacentral:rRNA from 1 species